GGGGGGGCUGCAGGAGGUCGGAUGUGCCGCGGGGGGCUCCCUGGGAGUCCCCCCAAACGCGAUCGCCGGCGACCGGGUAAGUAAAAAUAAACGGAGGGUGUACUAUUACGCCCGGCAGCGUUUAGAGCCACUUAAAAUAGGGCAUAAUAGUAGUAUAGGGGUUAAAAACAAUAUAUACAAUAUAUACCGUGUUUUAAAAUAACAAUAACAAUCUAAGAUUUAUUGAUUUUUUUAAGAGAAGUAAUUUUUACAUUUUAUCUUAUACAAGAAACCCAAAGAUACUUUCACUUUCUACAUAUAUCAAUAUAUGCAUUAAAUAAAAAAAAAAUAACUGCUAACGAUUAGGAGAAUUCCUGAAACCAAAUACUCCGUCAUACAUGGAAACCUAAGAGAACCUGUUACCAGAUUUCCUGGAUUUUGCCACAAAUAUUGUCUGCUCCACAGUCUCUGAAUCGUGAAAGGAUGAUAAAGUGUUUGUUCUAUAAUAAGAUAAAUGUACAACAGCUGGAAUGCAAGAACUGGCACCAGAGGCCUUUUGCCAUAAGUCUAUGGAAAGGCUAUAGAGCUAGCAAGGCAAAAAUAACAUGCUGUGUCUGUCCACACAUAGCAAGAGCCUUAGACCAACAAACUUACAGUGAUAGAUCAGUAAUUUAUCAUCGUAAUGAGUGCAGUUUACAAAGAAUUCAAGAAACGUUGAAAGAUAUGUAACACGUUGAGUAAACUUUCAAGACAACAUUCUACUCGAGAAAAGAAACAAUUUCAGAUAAAAGGUUAAUGACCAAAUUUGUAUAUAUUUUAGCAAAAAUAGCUGUCAAAACAUUUAAGAAAAACCCCCACAACAGAUAUGGGAAAAAACUAUUCUGGAGAAUGUUGCAGAGGAAAGGAAACAUUAAGGCUAAACUUUGUAAUGAAAACCGAGAAGUUCCUAAACUCGAUAUGUUUUCAUUUUAAAACGUGUUUUAGUUGUGGUUACUUUUAAUUCCUUUGUCAAAUAAUAACAAUUCUAAAAAUGUAGUUUAAUUUCUUUAUUAUUUAUUUGUAAUAGCCAUCAAAAUAAAUGACUAACCAAUGUAAAAAGCUUUGAAUCUUUUCCAGAUCUUAGAUUUUUUUUUUUAAAUGUCUGCUUAUUGGGAUAUUUAUUUUACAUGAAUAUGCAUACUUUUUAAAGGAAAAAUAAUUACCAUUAAAUUUGGGGCCAACAUAAAGAAUUAACCUUUUAAGUUCCAGACAUUUGAGAAAACAUUGCAAAUCAAACAGUAGCUCCUUGGAGAUUUGUUUGGCUAAAAUAAUAGUACUGUGAUGGCACCUAGUUUUUCCAAAAUCACCACUUCUAGGCUUUAUUUUGCAAUCACAUUUUCAGUUUACUACAAUGCAAUGUUUCGUAACUAAAUCCCAAACUGUUCCUUGACUAUGUCUUUCACUAUUUAGAUUAAGGACAUCCCCCCACCCCUCAAAACAAAUAAAAUAAAGCUUUUUACUUAUCUUUAGUCUCCUGUUGCACCGGUCUUGCAAUGGCCGUCCUUUCAUCAGAAUCUCCUCAUUGACUCAAAGCAUCUCUAUGAGGAGUGUUAAGCAUGGAGAUGCUGAAUGUCAGUCCUGCAAAGAUUGCAACACCACAACCAGGAAGUGCCUGAGAGUGAGAAAGGGUAAGUAAAAUUAUUAUUUUUUCUCCGUACAGGUGGGGAUAUAAACACUGAAAAUCGUCUAUAAUUUGUUUAAUCAUCUAUAAUUAGUUUUAAUUUUUUUUUCAUCUGAAGUUUCCUUUUCUUUUCAAUGUUUGUGAAAGAUUUAGCAAAUGAUAUCACAACCCAGCUCUAAGAUUACCAGGGAGCUAAGGUGGAAGUGUUCAGUUGCAGGAUCAAAAUUGUUUGUUUUUACAUAUAAUUUAGUUUUUCACCCCGUACAAAUACAUUUUUGUUAAAUAUAGCAGAUAAGUAAAGACUAAUUUAAUAAUAAAUAUCAGUUCCCCUUCAAAUGGACUUUAAACUGGUGUCUUCCUUUGCUGAAAGUCAUUUUAUACUGAUGCUCUAUUUGCCUGUGACAAAAUUGGCUUGAUUAUUUGCCACUGUAUUGACAUUUACUGUUUUCUUUGUGCACCUCACUUUUAUUAGACUAUUCCUACUUGGUACUAUAUUAUGCAGUAAUUCCAACGGCUUGUUUCACAGUCACUGUUUUUGUGUAUUGUGUAGUUCUACACUAUUUAUAAAAUGUUAUUGUAAGUGCCCACAAAACUUUGCACUGUUUUAUGCUUCUCAGUGCAUGUUUAGAUUAUUUUUUUUUUACUUCUGUCAGGCUUCAAGCUGUGUAAGAUAAAGUACUUCCAGACUUUCGAUUCAUCUGCAGCAAAGGACUAGCCACUAAAACAAUGUAUUCAAAUCGCAGUGAGCCAUACCUGGCACUUACGAAAAGACUAAAUAAUGUACUUAAAAUUAAUCAUUCAGCAAAAUUUGGAUGUCACUACAGAACAAACUUAGCAUAAAAAUGUGAAAAGAAGGUAUUGUGCUCAUAUUGGCAACAAAACAUAUAUCACUCAGUGUGUCAUUUUUAAAAUAAAUCUCACGUUUUCUGGUGUGCAUAAAACCCCACUAAACACAAAUACCUUACUAAUAUAGUCUGAUUCUAUGAAGGCUUAGAAUAAACAAAAUGAGAGUGAAAAAAAAAAAAAAUAAGCAUGUGCUCUGACUGUCCUCCAAUGAAGAUAAAGGGACAUUCCAUGUUCAAAUAUUUAUAUUUUUUGCAUUAAAUAAAUACAUACAUGUUUUGCAGAAUGCUGCACCAUAAGCCUGCCUUUUUAGCCACACCCCCUCACUCCAAAGACAGACUUCCUUAUCAAGUGUAAAUGUAAUUCCACGAAAAACAUUGAGGUGGUGAGCGCAUACAGGAAGAAGAGACAAUCCGGUGAAUCUACUUUCUACCACCCCGUUUGAUUGGUUGCAGGCCCGAUGGAAUGGCGCGGAAUUACAUUUAAAAGAGAUCGGAGGAGAACAUGAUACAUCUUCUGCUGCCCCUGACGAAGUCCAACUAGGACGAAACGCGUUGGGCGAAGGGACCCACAUAAGACUUUAUUUUAUUGUUUAAAGUUAUAUAUAAGUUUUAUUAUUUUAUUUUUCUGGUUGUUUCAUUAUUUUGUUCCUGACCUGAGUUAUUCUCCUCCAAGUUCACGGUUGGGCAAGACAUUUGUUGUGAUACGCUGGACUUUCUUGCAAUCAAUUCCUUCUAGAGCGUGCAUUUAGCCACUAACAUUUAUUGGUGUUUAAAUUUACUGCACCAUUAUUUUUUAUCUCUCUCUUUAUCCUUAGAUUUUUUUUUUUUUUUGCAUUUCUAUAUAAAGAAGACUUAAGGGAGUCUCUUACAAUCUAUUGUAAUAUAAGGGUAAUCUGUAUUUUAUGUAUAUUUUUACACACUUUUGGUGUGCACUUGUAUUGUAUAGUUAUAUAUAUGGCUUGUAAUCCACAUUAUUGAAACACUGUUUAUGUAUAAUUAUUAUGUUUUAUUGUACAGUUUAAUUUCCCUUCUCUGUAUUGCUUGUCUUUUGGCCAAGGAAGGGGGAUUUCUUGGAUUUUCUCUGAAGCACCAGAAAGCAAUGAUAGUGGUCUGCACCCACUAAGUGGGCAACCAUAAGAGAUGCAGAGACAGUCAUUUAAAGUUAUAGGUUCCAACCUUUAGAUAAUUCUCCAGGUGAAUACAAAUUUGGCCCUGGUAACAAGAUUCCAACUUCUAUCUAUGAAAACCUCCCACCUUGUAACAUGAAUAAGACAUGUUGGUAACACAAUGCUCUGUUAAUAAUAAUUAGGGGUAUUGAAAAAUGACAACCUACUUUAUGUGGUUGGAAGAGAGCAAACAUCUAUUAAACUUUUAUCUUAACAUAGUCUUGCUGAAAUUCAUUUAAAUUAUUAUAUUAUAAUUAUAAUGAUUAAAGACAGCUAACAUAAAUCUGUGUUUUAUAGAAAAUGAAUACAUAGCAGACAAAAUAAAUGACAUCAAAUGAUCUGUAAGUAUAUUUUCUCUUCAAAAAUAGAAACCCACACCUAAAUGUAAUGUCAUCAUACUAUGUGCAUGUAACAACACCCCCAGGCAUAAAAGGGUCAAACCGCCAUUUAGUAGAUCUUCCCCUUCCAGAGACACAGGCACAGCUACUGCAGAACCCCAAACUCCUGAACAGGAUACCCAGUAACACUCCAAACUCCCAAACUGGAACCUCACGAAUAGCUGCUAGCAGCUGAACAGGAAAAGCACCCAAGCGGCUUACACUCCUGGCAAUCAGUCUCUAACAGCAUACAGUAAAUCCCCCCAAGAACGAGACAAAGAUCCGUUUUGAGGGUCAAGCAGGAACAGACAGAGCUGUGGGUUUAUUGUUCUUAUAUACACAUUAGUAUCACCCACACGGUUUUGGAAAACAACCAAUAAACACGUACAAUACACUCAGACACUCCCACACAAAAUCCUCCCCUCUACCUGUGAUACAAUUACCUUACACAAUGGGUAAUGUAAUUAUCACAGACAGAGAAAUACAGUUUUUCCACAUUAUUCAUAACUUUAAAAGUAUGCAUCACAUACACAUUUUCAGAAUCAGCAUACUCCAAAUACAAACAUACGUCAAAAUCAUACAAAUUGCUCCAGUAGUUCAAAAAAUAGAUUGUAGUCCUUUGUGACCAAAUGAAGCAUGGCUUUUCUGCCCAAAACCAGUUCACAUAGUCUUCUAUCCUGGAGAUAAUUGGGAAGUAAUCCAAUUAUCUCCAAGGACAGAUGCAAAACUCCAUUAAGAACAUGGCAGUAAAAAGACAGUAAAAUACACAAGGUUACAUUUAUUACAUAAAAUACAGACAUGCAACAUAUCCCCAGAUAGCUUAGGUCUGAGCACACAUUAUUACUGAAUGGCGCUCAUACCACACACAUACAGUUCAAUUGCCAUGGAGCCAUAGUCUUUCAUUAUACGCUAAAAAUAUGUAAUGUGAUCUUUGUGCAUUUUAUCUGUGUGUACAUGUAUAUCUGUGUGUCAAUGUGUGUCUGUAUGUGUGCCAUUGUAUGUAUGUAUCUAGAUGUGUUUCAGUGUCUGUGUAUCUGCAUGUGUGUCUGCAUGGAUGUCAUUGUGUGUAUCUGUAUGUUGUCAGUGUGUGUCUGUGUAUCUACAUGUCUGUACCUGAGUAUCUGUAUGUGAGUCUGUAUGUAUGUGACAGUGUAUAUGUGUAUACAUGUAUUUGUUUUUCUGUGUUUCCAUGUGUGUCUGUAUAUUUGUAUGGUGUUAGUGUACUUCUGUGUAUCUGCAUCAGUGUUAAUUUUGGCGGCAAAUUUCAAUUUAGUUUUAGUCAUUCAUCCAUUUUAGUUUAGUUGUAUUUUAGUCAUCUGAAUUGUUUUAAUUUUAGUCUAGUUUUAGUCGACUAAAUCUCAAAAAACGUAGUCGACUAAAACUUGACUAAAAUUUUGUCGACAAAACUAACUGAUCUGCAUGUGUGUCAGUGUGUGUAUCUGUAUGUUGUCAGUGUGCCUGUGUAUCUGCAUGUCUGUACCUGUGUAUUUGUGUGUGUCUGUGUGUACAUCUCAGCAUUCAAACUCUAACACGUCACACAUACACCCCUACUUUCACAGGCAAACAUUACACACAAGUAAACCACUGCUUUCAAAUGGCAACAGCACAUAAAAACACACAACACUACACACAAAUACAUUACUACAUUCACACACAGAUACUUUAUACAAAAACAUACAUUCAAACAUACAAAUGCUGCUCUAUGCGAAGUACAAUCCAGCAGGGAUGGGCAAAUGGUAGAUCUCCAGCUGGCAAAGCAUUGUGUCAGUUGAACAACAUCUUUGCAAUCAGCGGUGCCUCCCAAAAAUUAUUUCAACAGUGUCCUUUCUACUGUAGUUCCACCACUAAGUGCAAAGCAUUCAUAUAACAACACAGGGGAAUAAUAUAUCAGAGGCAAAUGUAAAGGGACACUAUAGUUAUUAGAACAACUACAGCUUAAUGUAGUGGUUCUGGUGUCUAUAGCCUUUCCCUGCAGGCUUUUUAAUGUAUGUGCUGCCUUUUCAGAAAGAAGGCAGUGUUUAAAUUACCGCCUAGGAUCACCUGUAGUGGCAGUCAAACAGAUCUCCACUAGAUGUGCUUCCUGGGUUAGUGCUGCGCAGUGUGUAGCACUUAUGUUCAGUGUCUCCAUUUCCAUUGGAAAGCAUUGGAUUUGCUUGGAUCGUUAAAUUUAAUUAUCUCAGCCAUGGAGGCAGAGGGGGACUGGGGACCUAAAAUGUGCUCUUGCAACUAUAGUGUCAGGAAUACAUGUUUGUAUUCCUGACACUAUAGUGUUCCUUUAACAUCAUAGACCCCAUGCUCAAUAGCAGGGCAGCUUGAGCUCUUUCUACAAUGUAUCAGCUAUAGCACCAAUAACAACAUACCUCCUUGUAAGCCAAUUAUUUUGCUAUGUAGCCUACAAUUUACAAUCCACUUGUGAUAUCGCAGUGUCCCACUCAGGGUCCCUAUCCACCAUGACAGUCUCUAUUCCACAAAUUCAUCCUCUAUACCCCACUACAGCCUUUCUUCUCCCACUGCAUCCCCUACCACGUCACUACAGCUCCUGUUUCCCAAUUAGAGCCAUUGUCUCCCCAGUACAAUCCCUAUUUCUCCACUACAGCCCCUAUCCCCCAUCCCCCCAGGGACGUUUUAGCCGCGAGGCAAACAAGGCAUUUGCCUUGGGCGGUAUUUUCCAGGCAUUAGCCUUGUGGCUAACUGACAUGCUGGGCGGGCUGGCGGGCGGCUGGCGAGGGAGCACUUCCCCUGAGCACUCUGUUCAGCUCCCUCGCGCGCCGCAGAGUGAGGUUGGGAGCCGGAAUAUGAUGUCAUAUUCCGGCUCCCAGCCUCACUCUGUGGCGCGCGAGAGAGCUGAGCAGAGUGCUCAGGGGAAGUGCUCUCUCGCCAGCCGCCUGCCAGCGCCGCCCACCCAGCAGCCACUGGACCCCCAGGGAGAAAGAGAACCCCCCCCCCAGCAUUCCCAAAGGUAAGGAGGCUGGGGGUUAAAUAGAAAAAAAUGUGUUAAUGAGAGUGAGUGUGUGUGUAUGUCUGUUAGUGUGUGUGUGUCUGUUAGUGUGUAUGUCUGUUAGUGUGAGUGUGUCUGUUAGUGUGUGUGAAUGUUAAUGUGUGUGUGUGUAUCUGUUAGUGUGUGUUUGUUAGUGUGUGUGUGUGUGUGUGUCUGACUGUGUGUGUGUGUCUGUUAGUGUGAGUGUGAGUGUGUUUGUGAGUGUGUGUGUCUGUUAGUGUGUGUGUGUGUCUGCUAGUGUGUGUCUGCUAGUGAGUGAGUGUGUGUCUGUUAGUGUGUGUGUGUGUCUGUCUGACUGUGUGUGUCUGUUAGUGUAUGUGUGUGUGUGUCUGACUCUGUGUGUCUGUUAGUGUGAGUGUGUUUGCCUGUGAGUUUUUGUGUCAGUGAGUGUGUGUGUCUGCAAGUGUGUGUCUGUUGGUGAGUGUGUGUUUGCCUGUGAGUGUGUGUGUGUCUGCUAGUGAGUGAGUGUGUGUCUGUUAGUGUGUGUGUCUGACUGUGUGUGUCUGUUAGUGUGUGUGUCUGACUGUGUGUCUGUUAGUGUGAGUGUGUUUGCCUGUGAGUGUGUGUGUCAGUGAGUGUGUGUGUCAGUGAGUGUGUGUUUGUCUGUUAGUGAGUGUGUCUGUUAGUGUGUGUGUUUCUGUUAGCUUGUGUGUGCUUCUGUUAGCUAGUGUAUGCGUAUCUGUCAGUGAAUGUGUGUUUAUUUAGAAGGUGGGGCGGGGGGAACGGUUGGGUGGGGGUGGCGCGGGGGGGGGGGGCUGAGUUUUGUCCUGCCUAGGACAGCACAAAACCAGGAUACACCACUGCAUCCCCCAUGACAUUCCCUAACCACCCAAGCCCCACACUACAAUCUCUAUCCCCAAUUACAACCCCUAUACCCCACUACAGUGUCAAUUCCGCCAUUAUUAGCCCCUGUCGCACAUUAGAGCCCUUAUCUCCGCACUAAAGCCCCAGUCCCACAUGCUACAGCUCUUGUCCCCCACUGAAGCCCCUACUCCCCCCACAUUACAACCCUUUCUGUAACACAAGAAUGUAUAUGUAGGUGGUGCAUGUAUGUCUGCAUAAUGUAUAUUUGUGCAGCCUGCAAGAUAGUGGUUACAGGGGGCCCCAUGAGUUGUCAGUCCGCCCCUGGUAGAAGGUAAACUUCCAAUCCUAUAGAAAGCACAUAGACACAAAAUAAAGUAGCACAGUCUAAAGUAAUGAUAGAAGAGCUAGUGCCAAAUUGGUACUUACAAACAUAGAGCCACUAUAGCUCUGUAGUAGUGUGUUGUGUAGUUUAGGGCUAUGCUCCCCCUUUUUUGUAAGUAAGAUGCUCAUGAUGUCAGGAGCCAGGAUAAAACAUUAACACAUUUAUUUAGAAAAUAUAACAAAACAUAUAAAUAAAACAAGGAACAAUGUCCAUAAAAGUACCGGUACACGUUUCUCUACUUGAUGUAGCUUCCUCAGCCGGAUAAGCUGUGUGUGAAUCUUUUAUUUACUGACCUAGCUUUCCAUCAGGUGGUCUGGAUGUCCCUGGCCCCGUACUAUUUUGAAGAGCUGCAACACUAGUGCAAGCUCUAAAAUGUAAUUCUCCAUCUGACAUAUUUUGUUGAGGAGGCAUUGAGGGUGAACUUUGCAGACUCUGAAAAUUUUGAAAUUAUUAUAUAUUUAUAUGAAAAAACAUACACUAGAUUCUCUUCUUCCCUCAACGGCACAAACUUUUUGCCCCUGGAAAAAAACAUCAUACAAAGACAAUCUAACCUCACACAACUUGGUAAUGAUUCCUAACCUCACACGACUCAGCAAUGAUUCCUAUUCCUCAGUAAUAGGUAAUCCCAAAUUUCAAUCUAACUGUGGUAAGAAAACAGCGUUUUAUAUGGUAGAUAUCUAAUAAACUAGUGACGAGGAGAUUUUGCCCAACUAGGCUAAUCGCUCACUGUUGAGAAUCUUAUUAUAUCAAAAAGAAACUGACAAAUAUAAGAAAUAUCCUGAUCUAUUUAGGAUCCUUAUCACACAGAGCAGCUCAAUGCUACUUGACCCAAUUUGAACGUUUAUAUAACUAUAAUUCUUCCGAUGGUGGAUCAAUAUCAGCAAUACAUAGCCUCUUAACAAAACAAAUUGCUUAGAGGAAACAAGAUUAUAAAAAUUAUUGAUCAUGGAAUCUGAUAUAGGAAAGGAACUGGAUAACACAUGGACGGAUAUAUUCAGCAAUUGUUACAAAUGGUCUCAUCUGUACCACAAGCAAGGAAAACUGAUCUAAAGGCUCAUCCAGAUGGUACAUAGACCCAGUCCGUCACUUGCCGUGGUUGACACGCUCUAGAGAUUAUCAGCUUUCUGGAAUGGACUUUCCAAGAUGUUGAGUGAUGCACUGGAGAUAACCUUGUCCCCUGAUUCUAUCUUGUCACUAUUAAACACUUAACCCCUACCACAUUGUUCAUCUGCCACACAAUGUGUUUUGCUGGUAGGUAAAGUAUUGUGAAGAGGUAAAAAGAAGAGAUUCCCCAAUUGAUAUAUUCAUGAAAAAAAGUGAACUUUAUUCAAGAUAUGGAAGAAAUGUCUGCUAAAAUUAAUGGGAACUUAGCAUCACACAAAAAAACUUGGCGUCCAUGGAUAGAAUAAAAAAAUUAUAUACUUGGCCUGAAAGAUAUCAUCCUCCUUACCUUGCUUAUCUACUCCCCACUCUUCCCCUUCUGUCCCCCCUUUUUUUUCUCCCUUUCUUUCUAUUUUUAGAAAUAUUAUUUCUUAUUGCCUAUUGGUUUUACAUUAUUUAAUUUUAAUAUAUAUUGUAAAAACGUAUAUGUUGUGUAAUUGUUAUACUAAAAGAAAGGAGACUAAAUCCCAAUACACAAAACAUGUGUUAUCACUACUCUUGUACUUCUAAUGCUUAUACUUUUACAACUCUUUAUUGUUAAUAUUUAUAUAAUGCAGUGCAAUACUCCAAAUGUUUUAUAACUUUCUGUAAUAUCGCUGAUGUACAGCUGACACUGUAUCACAUCUCUCUUUUCAAUAAAAAAAAAAAAAAUAUAUCAUAAAUAAAAGAAAUGCAUCUUUUGCCUGACAAUAUGCUGACAGGCUCAACACAGGCGAGUUGACAUUUAAAGGGACACUAUAAGCAUCCAAACUAUUUUAGCUUAAUGUAGUGGUUUUGGUGUAUAGAUCACACCCCUACAAUCUAAGUGCUCAAUUAUCUGCCACUUAGGAGUUAAAUCAUUUAAUUUAUGCAGCAUUAGCCAUAGCUCUCUGGCUGUGACUCACACUGUCUCUUUACACAUUUCCUGUAAAGAGAGAUCUACUUUUUAAUAUUCAUUUAUUGCACAGUCUGUUUAUACCUUUCUCUGUUAAUAGCCUGCUAGAGCCUGCUGUGUGCGAUUAAAUUUCAAUUGACAGAGCAGGAGACAAAAACUUCUAAAGUAAAGACACUAUGCUGUAAGAUCUGAUUGAAGAUGAAGCCUUUUUUCAUGUAGACUGUGUGAUUCACAGCAAGGGGAUGUAUGGCUAGAGCUGCAUAAAUAGAAACAUAACAUAUUUAAAAGAGUAUCCAAAAUAUAAAAUAAUUAAAAAGAAUGCAUGCAACAAUAUUAAAAUGAAGUCAUGAUUGAAAGAAACAGGUACAGAAAGUCUAUGGUACCCUAAAGUCAUUGUCUCUAAUACUUUAUCACCCCAGGAUAAAUUAGUAGCCACCAAGAUAUUUUAGUUUUUUUUGUACCCUAGACAUUCUGUCUUGCUUUUAACAUGUCUAUUGUGUUUAUGUGGCAUUUGCUAACUGUCAGUAUAAACAUAUUAUUAUGGUACUUCAAUUAAUUUGUUUUUGUUUUUUUAAAUCUUUAUUUAAGGUUUUGGAGCACCAAAAUAAAAAAAUAAAUAAAAGAGUUAUAGAACAAUAAUGUAUAAGAUGACAAAAAUUAUGAGUAAUGAAUUUUGCAGUUACAAAUAUCACAUAAGUGUAUAAAAACUCAACAGGGUUUACAUGUGCUGUUCGUGAAACUAGAGAGGAUCAGAGAUAACAGAAUUGGCAUAUAUUUGGCUUAUUCAUAGUAAGCAAACAAGCUGUCAAAAUCCCACUCGUAGAUUAUCACCUGUUGGAAUAUAUCUUGUCAGAAACCAAAGGUCUAAGAACAUAAUUCCCAGAAGUGGGACAGAAACAGUAUAAAAGACAUAUAAUACAUAAAACAAAGAGAUGUAAGUGGAAAGGGAAAGAGGAAGUAUGAGAGAGGGAGAGAGAGAAGAAAAAAAGAGUGGAAGUGAUUUCAUCCAUCUUAUAAGCACCCGCCAACAACAUGACUAUAUAGCAUCCGAAGCUCACAAGCAAACCCUCGAAGCCUCCAAAAUAACAGAGGGAAGAAUAGGGUCCAUACAUCUAACCGCUAAGGAAGGAUAACCAUGAACUCCAAACAGUGAUGUACUUUUUUGUUCUGCCCAAUAGUGCUGCAACCUUCCCCUCCACCUGGCGAAUCUCCUCAACACUGCUCAUGUGGCCACAAGCAGUUGCAUCCAUAUGUCAGGAAUCGGGAAACUAGCUGCAGUCAGGAGGUGGGUAUUUCAAUAGAUGGUUUAAUAAGAG